rnacentral:rRNA from 1 species
AAAUUGAAGAGUUUGAUCAUGGCUCAGAUUGAACGCUGGCGGCAGGCCUAACACAUGCAAGUCGAGCGGUAGCACAGAGAGCUUGCUCUCGGGUGACGAGCGGCGGACGGGUGAGUAAUGUCUGGGAAACUGCCUGAUGGAGGGGGAUAACUACUGGAAACGGUAGCUAAUANCGCAUAACGUCGCAAGACCAAAGUGGGGGACCUUCGGGCCUCAUGCCAUCAGAUGUGCCCAGAUGGGAUUAGCUAGUAGGUGGGGUAACGGCUCACCUAGGCGACGAUCCCUAGCUGGUCUGAGAGGAUGACCAGCCACACUGGAACUGAGACACGGUCCAGACUCCUACGGGAGGCAGCAGUGGGGAAUAUUGCACAAUGGGCGCAAGCCUGAUGCAGCCAUGCCGCGUGUGUGAAGAAGGCCUUCGGGUUGUAAAGCACUUUCAGCGGGGAGGAAGGCGUUAAGGUUAAUAACCUUGGCGAUUGACGUUACCCGCAGAAGAAGCACCGGCUAACUCCGUGCCAGCAGCCGCGGUAAUACGGAGGGUGCAAGCGUUAAUCGGAAUUACUGGGCGUAAAGCGCACGCAGGCGGUCUGUCAAGUCGGAUGUGAAAUCCCCGGGCUCAACCUGGGAACUGCAUUCGAAACUGGCAGGCUAGAGUCUUGUAGAGGGGGGUAGAAUUCCAGGUGUAGCGGUGAAAUGCGUAGAGAUCUGGAGGAAUACCGGUGGCGAAGGCGGCCCCCUGGACAAAGACUGACGCUCAGGUGCGAAAGCGUGGGGAGCAAACAGGAUUAGAUACCCUGGUAGUCCACGCCGUAAACGAUGUCGAUUUGGAGGUUGUGCCCUUGAGGCGUGGCUUCCGGAGCUAACGCGUUAAAUCGACCGCCUGGGGAGUACGGCCGCAAGGUUAAAACUCAAAUGAAUUGACGGGGGCCCGCACAAGCGGUGGAGCAUGUGGUUUAAUUCGAUGCAACGCGAAGAACCUUACCUGGUCUUGACAUCCACAGAACUUUCCAGAGAUGGAUUGGUGCCUUCGGGAACUGUGAGACAGGUGCUGCAUGGCUGUCGUCAGCUCGUGUUGUGAAAUGUUGGGUUAAGUCCCGCAACGAGCGCAACCCUUAUCCUUUGUUGCCAGCGGUUCGGCCGGGAACUCAAAGGAGACUGCCAGUGAUAAACUGGAGGAAGGUGGGGAUGACGUCAAGUCAUCAUGGCCCUUACGACCAGGGCUACACACGUGCUACAAUGGCAUAUACAAAGAGAAGCGACCUCGCGAGAGCAAGCGGACCUCAUAAAGUAUGUCGUAGUCCGGAUUGGAGUCUGCAACUCGACUCCAUGAAGUCGGAAUCGCUAGUAAUCGUAGAUCAGAAUGCUACGGUGAAUACGUUCCCGGGCCUUGUACACACCGCCCGUCACACCAUGGGAGUGGGUUGCAAAAGAAGUAGGUAGCUUAACCUUCGGGAGGGCGCUUACCACUUUGUGAUUCAUGACUGGGGUGAAGUCGUAACAAGGUAACCGUAGGGGAACCUGCGGUUGGAUCACCUCCUUACCUUAAAGAA